GUACACCUUCAGGUUGAUCCACCUGAUGACAUCAAGUGGAACCUCACGGCAAACGACAAAUACUCUUCCACCUCGGCUUACAAGGCACAGUUUGUCGGGGCAGUGGCAACCAACAUGACGAAGGUGGUUUGGGGGAACUGGGUGCCUCCAAAGUGUAAGUUCUUUGCGUGGCUUGUUACCAAGGAUAGGGUGUGGACGGCUGACCAUUUGCAGCAACGAGGAUGGACGAAUUGCAAUUUAUGCCAACCAUGCAAGAGGGAGCCUGAGACGGCGGUGCAUUUACUAUUCAAGUGCAGCUAUUCCAGCCGCAUAUGGAACGCGGUGAGAUGCUGGCUGGAUGUGCCUGAGCUAGACACUAUCGCUUGGGCAGGGAUCCCAACAGUCCAGGAGUGAUUGGCUAGGACCGUGCUCAGGCGUGGGCACCGUAAAAAGAUCGUAUCCACACUUAUAUCGCUCAUAUCCUGGGAGGUUUGGAAAGAGAGAAAUACGAGGGUGUUCCAGAAGAAAUCUUCCAUGCCAACAACUGUGUUCGAGGGCAUCAAAGUAGAGGCCAAACAUUGGGUCUUGGCCGGGGCUAUACAUUUGGGAUCAUUGAUGCUGCGAGGGUAG
rnacentral:rRNA from 1 species